AAUUUAUCAAUAGUACUCAUGAUUCCACAGUCUGGUUCUGCAUAUUUUCAUUCUACAUUAAAAGGAUGAGCCAUUAUUGUUGAAUGUAAUGUGUCAUGCUAUGCAUUCGGUUUUGUGCUUGAUCCAAUGUCUUGUAUGCCGGGUGUUUCAGUGGUGCAGUGAAGAUCCUUAUUGUUGAAUGUAUAGAAAAUUAUAUUAACUGAAGAUCCUUAAAUUCUUGCCGGUCAUGUGUCCAAGGCCUGUAGUGCAUGCUGAAGGCAAAGUAUUGUUGUGUUAGUAAGAGAGCAGAUCUCCCUCUGAAGAAUGGGACUUUGCUUCGGAGAGGCCUGCCCUUUUUGCAAGAUCGAUGGUUCAAUAAGCUAUGACUAAGACAGAUCUUUCCGCAGCUUUUUGAUCGCUCUGGUCCAUUCUAUGGAGAGCUAGGUAGGUUUGUAUUGAGGACAUUGGGAGUCAGAACAAAACCCAAGAUGGGACCUCCAGCAGGUCCCAAUGGGCUUCCAUUCUCUGGGCCCGGCGGUGCACCUGAGAACCGAAACUACAUUGAGGGACCAAAGGCCGCUCCUAGUGGUUCCUGGGAUAAUGUUUGGGGAAAUGAUACCAGUAAAUGAUGAGGUAAUACAAAUUAUUGUCAUGUGAAUCUUUGCUUCCAUUCAGAGAAACAGAAGAGAGACGGAAAUGUCACCCGACUCCUCAUUUUUUGUGAAAAUCUGUGCGAACAUGUUCGUCGGAGUCAAUUAAUAUCUGCAACUCAUACCAAACUCGGUUUGUGGGUUAUUAGAUGGACAAGGAAGUGA